rnacentral:rRNA from 1 species
GACGAACGCUGGCGGCAUGCCUAACACAUGCAAGUCGAACGAGACCUUCGGGUCUAGUGGCGCACGGGUGCGUAACGCGUGGGAACCUGCCCUUAGGUUCGGAAUAACUCCCCGAAAGGGGUGCUAAUACCGGAUAAUGUCUUCGGACCAAAGAUUUAUCGCCUCUGGAUGGGCCCGCGUUGGAUUAGCUAGUUGGUAGGGUAAAAGCCUACCAAGGCGACGAUCCAUAGCUGGUCUGAGAGGAUGAUCAGCCACACUGGGACUGAGACACGGCCCAGACUCCUACGGGAGGUAGCAGUGGGGAAUAUUGGACAAUGGGCGAAAGCCUGAUCCAGCAAUGCCGCGUGAGUGAUGAAGGCCUUAGGGUUGUAAAGCUCUUUUACCCGGGAUGAUAAUGACAGUACCGGGAGAAUAAGCUCCGGCUAACUCCGUG